GACAGAGGCCUCGAGCGUUAGGCGGAAUCACUGGGCUUAAAGCGUGUGUAGGCGGAUCGUUAAGUGCCUUGUGAAAUCCCACGGCUUAACUGUGGAACGGCUGGGCAUACUGGCGGUCUUGAGCCAUCUAGGGGCGACUGGAACAAACGGUGGAGCGGUGAAAUGCGUAGAUAUCGUUGGAACGCCAAUGGUGAAAACAGGUCGCUGGGGAUGAGCUGACGCUGAGACACGAAAGCCAGGGGAGCAAACGGG
rnacentral:rRNA from 1 species